AUAAUAUCGCCCCAACCAUUUAUUUUUUAAUUUUUAAAAAAAAUGUAGCUCCUAUCGUUUCCUCCUAGUUGGCUGUUAAAUUCUCGAAAUUUCUACAAGUCAGUUAUUACCUACUAAGUGGCAUGAAAUUAGCCAUGGUGGGAGGAUUUCUCCCACUGAGAUCAGCAAACACUACCAAUCAGGCUGUCUUCCCCUAGAGAGGUAUUUAUCAGCACAACACUGAUUACAUGCAAUAAACAUUUGGAAGAUGUAGCACUCUACACAGCACAAAAUAAGAUGGAAAUGAAGUUAAAUAUUUUUAAUUGUUUACUGAGCUCUUAAUAUGUGUCUGUCUCUUUUAGGUACUAUAUAAUGUGCUACUUGAAGAAGACAGAUUGGUACCUAUGCUAAAAGAUAGAAGAGCUUAGACAAUGUCCACAAGACCACGUAGGGCAAGUGUUUGUCACACCAAUGCAUGUAUCUUUAAUAAUGAAGAAAAUAAUACCUAAUUUUAAAACACUAAAUAAAGUAGUGUGGCUGGAGGAAGCACAAGCUGGAAUCAUGAUUGCCAGGAGAAAUAUCAAU
rnacentral:lncRNA from 1 species